rnacentral:rRNA from 1 species
UACGUAGGGUGCGAGCGUUAAUCGGAAUUACUAGGCGUAAAGCGUGCGCAGGCGGCGCGUUAAGACAGGUGUGAAAGCCCCGAGCUUAACUUGGGAAUUGCGCUUGUGACUGGCGUGCUGGAGUGUGGCAGAGGGAGGUGGAAUUCCACGUGUAGCAGUGAAAUGCGUAGAGAUGUGGAGGAACACCGAUGGCGAAGGCAGCCUCCUGGGCCAGCACUGACGCUCAUGCACGAAAGCGUGGGGAGCAAACAGG